UCUGUGGGGUGAUGGGUGCUCUGUGGGGUGAUGAUGGGUGCUCUGUGGGGUGAUGGGUGCUCUGUGGGGUGAUGAUGGGUGCUCUGUGGGGUGAUGGGUGCUCUGUGGGGUGAUGAUGGGUACUCUGUGGGGUGAUGGGCGCUCUGUGGGGUGAUGAUGGGUACUCUGUGGGGUGAUGGGCGCUCUGUGGGGUGAUGGGCGCUCUGUGGGGUGAUGGGUGAUGGGCGCUCUGUGGGGUGAUGGGUGCUCUGUGGGGUGAUGGGCGCUCUGUGGGGUGAUGAUGGGCGCUCUGUGGGGUGAUGGGCGUCCCAUGGCUGCACUGUGUCCCACAGUGUUGCCAGCUGUCCCAUGGCCGUGCUGGAUGUCCCAUGGCAGUGGUGGCUGCCCCAUAGAGGUACCAGCUGUCCCAUAGUGGUGACAGCUGUCCCAAGGCAGUGGUGGCUGCCCCAUAGAGGUGUCAGCUGUCCCAUGGCAGUGGUGGCUGCCCCAUAGAGGUGACAUAGAGGCUGCCCCAUAGAGGUGGCUGCCAUAUAGAGGUGACAGCUGUCCCAAGGCAGUGGUGGCUGCCCCAUAGAGGUGACAGCUGUCCCAUGGCAGUGGUUGCUGCCCCAUAGAGGUGACAGCUGUCCCAAAGCAGUGGUGGCUGCCCUAUAGUGGUGACAGGUGUCCCAUGGCAGUGGUGGCUGCCCCAUAGAGGUGACAGCUGUCCCAUGUCAGUGGUGGCUGCCCCAUAGUGGUACCAGGUGUCCCAUAGUGGUGACAGCUGUCCCAUGGCCGUGCUGGGUGUCCCAUGGCAGUGGUGGCUGUCCCAUAGAGGUGACAGCUGUCCCAUGGCAGUGGUGGCAGUCCCAUAGUGGUACCAGGUGUCCCAUAGUGGUGACAGCUGUCCCAUGGCCAUGCUGGGUGUCCCAAGGCAGUGGUGGCUGCCCCAUAGAGGUGACAGCUGCCCCAUGGCAGUGGUGGCAGUCCCAUAGUGGUACCAGGUGUCCCAUAGUGGUACCAGGUGUCCCAUAGUGCUGACAGCUGUCCCAUGGCAGUGGUGGCAGUCCCAUAGAGGUGACAGCUGUCCCAUGGCAGUGGUGGCUGCCCCAUAGUGGUACCAGGUGUCCCAAAGCAGUGGUGGCUGUCCCAUAGAGGGUUACCCACUAUGGGGUGGUGCUGUGGGGUGCUGUGGGGUGUCACCCGGUGCUCACUGUCCCCCCGUUUCACCCCCCGCCCGGACAAACAACGCUGGGCUCGUUUUUAAAUAAGAAUAAUUAAAAAAAAAACAAAACAAAACAAAACCGAAACGGAA